rnacentral:rRNA from 1 species
CGCGUAGGCGGUCUCUUAAGUCAGAUGUGAAAGCCCGGGGCUUAACCCCGGAAGUGCAUUUGAAACUAAGGGACUUGAGUAUGGGAGAGGGAAGUGGAAUUCCUGGUGUAGAGGUGAAAUUCGUAGGUAUCAGGAGGAACACCGGUGGCGAAGGCGACUUCCUGGACCAAUACUGACGCUGAGGCGCGAAGGCGUGGGGAGCAAACA